CUACGGGCGGCUGCAGUCGAGAAUCUUCCACAAUGGGCGAAAGCCUGAUGGAGCGACGCCGCGUGAGGGAUGAAGGCCUUUUGGUUGUAAACCUCUAACAGGGGGGAUGAAUGAUGCCGGAGCUAUCUCCGGUGUGUUUGACAGACCCCCAGAUGAAGCACGGGCUAAGUUCGUGCCAGCAGCCGCGGUAAUACGAACCGUGCGAACGUUGUUCGGAAUCACUGGGCUUAAAGGGCGCGUAGGCGGUCGCGCAAGGCGGCGGGUGAAAUCCCCCAGCUCAACUGGGGAACUGCCCUCGAAACUGCGUGACUCGAGGAAGGUAGGGGAGCGCGGAACUUCCGGUGGAGCGGUGAAAUGCGUAGAUAUCGGAAGGAACGCCGGUGGCGAAAGCGGCGCUCUGGGCCUUUUCUGACGCUGAGGCGCGAAAGCUAGGGUAGCAAACGGGAUUAGAUACCCUGGUAGUC
rnacentral:rRNA from 1 species